GGCCACGGGAGUAAACUGGGCCGUGGAAGUAGGUUAAGCCACGAGAGUGGGCUGUUCAGCUGGAGCAGGCUGUGCCACAGGAGCAGCGAAAGUGGACUGCUCGGCGGGAGCAGGCUGCUCAGAGUGUGAUGCACAUGGGUGCGAGGCUUGGGCUCGGCUUGGCAACGCAUUGAGUUCACAUUGGGCUUGGAAUGACAUGGCUUAGGCCAUGGCCUUAGUGUGGUGAGCCUUGGAUGGCACAGCUCGAGCCGUGGUGGUGGUACCAUGGACCUCGCCGCAGGUAAUGGUAACCGUGGUAGCCACCGUGGUGAUUGCCAUGGUGGAGCCCCGUAGCGAUGGUGCCGCUCCUAUGAUCACAUUUAGCUUCGUGGAUUGUCGUGGUCCCAUUUCUUGAAUAUUGGAAUUUUCACUUGUGGAAUUUUCUAAAUUUCUAGCCAUUGUAUUUCUCUUUUACAUUUUAUCAAAGAAUCUUUGCAAAUAAAAAAUUCUAAUAAUAAGAACGUACGAAAAAUCUACAAAUGGACAAGAAAAUAGAAAAACCUUUUGAUGCGAGAGUCUUCUACGAGUGUGUGACUCUUCUCUCAAUGAAAGCACCAAUUUGUGGAUGCAAAUUUUUGCUCCUUGAACUUGGACAAAAUUGCACCUACAAAACAAUUAACACCUUAGGUCAAGGCCAAGAGCCUCACGCACCCAUGAUGAAUGGGGGGGGGGGGUUUGGCCGAAGAACCUCUAAUGCCAAAGUUAGAAUUUAGAGAGAAAAAGUGUUUGAGAAUUCUAGAGAAUUUUAGCAAGAGUUCAGAGUCGUUUUUGGGAGAGAAUGGUCAGCAUGGACCGGCCAUUUAGGUAUUUUUUGGGUGUAAAUUAUGGUUAAUUAGCCAUCAAUAGAUUAAUUAGGUAAUAAAUCUAUUAAUUGACUAAUUAACAUAUUUUGAAAAAAAUAUUUGGGGAGUUAUGGAAUGAUUAAGAUAAUUAGCUAAUUGAUUAGCUAAAAAAGGGAAAAUGAGGUAAAAAAAUAUAUGCAAUGAAAUAGGUUUUG
rnacentral:lncRNA from 1 species